rnacentral:rRNA from 1 species
UACGUAGGGUGCGAGCGUUGUCCGGAUUCAUUGGGCGUAAAGAGCUCGUAGGCGGUUUCGUAAGUCGGAUGUGAAAACUCAGGGCUCAACCCGGAGACGCCAUCCGAUACUGCGAUGACUUGAGUCUGGUAGGGGAUCACGGAAUACCUGGUGUAGCGGUGAAAUGCGCAGAUAUCAGGUGGAACACCGGUGGCGAAGGCGGUGAUCUGGGCCAGUACUGACGCUGAGGAGCGAAAGCGUGGGGAGCGAACAGG